rnacentral:rRNA from 1 species
GAUGAACGCUGGCGGCGUGCCUAAUACAUGCAAGUCGAGCGAACAGACGAGGAGUUUGCUCCUUUGACGUUAGCGGCGGACGGGUGAGUAACACGUGGGUGACCUACCUAUAAGACUGGGAUAACUUCGGGAAACCGGAGCUAAUACCGGAUAAUAUUUCGAACCGCAUGGUUCGAUAGUGAAAGAUGGCUUUGCUAUCACUUAUAGAUGGACCUGCGCCGUAUUAGCUAGUUGGUAAGGUAACGGCUUACCAAGGCAACGAUACGUAGCCGACCUGAGAGGGUGAUCGGCCACACUGGAACUGAGACACGGUCCAGACUCCUACGGGAGGCAGCAGUAGGGAAUCUUCCGCAAUGGGCGAAAGCCUGACGGAGCAACGCCGCGUGAGUGAUGAAGGUCUUCGGAUCGUAAAACUCUGUUAUUAGGGAAGAACAAACGUGUAAGUAACUGUGCACGUCUUGACGGUACCUAAUCAGAAAGCCACGGCUAACUACGUGCCAGCCGCCGCCGUAA